ensembl:lncRNA
AUGAACAUAGGAGAUUGCAGAAGGCUUUUAAAUUUGUCGCUCAGUCUGCUUAUGCAAGCAAACAACAGGCAGGACCCUGAAAAGGCCAGCUUUCCAGGUGUUGUAGAAGUUCAAAGGAAGAUGCAAAUCUUGUUGUCUCCUUACUUAAGACAAGGAAGAACAAUCGAGUUCUGCUAGCAAUAAGCCUAAUCCUUCAAUCUUAAGCAAGAAAAAGUCCUUCCUCAAAUUUAUCUCUGUGACUGAACAGCAUUUCUGUGAGCAAGAGCCAGCGGAUCUAGUCUCAAACCCUUUGAAAGAGCUGAUCUGACUUGGCACUCCGCUUCUUUGUCAUCUUAGCAGAGACUGUAAUUGCAAGCAAAGGCUUUCUGGGACCAUCUGACUUCUCCAAGUGAGGAAAAUAGCCAAAUCUGUUUUAUUGAAAGCAGAACGAUAUCCUUUGGAGAUUACUGAACAAUAUCAUGUUUUUGACAUUUAGCUCUUCUCUUUUUCAUCUAGGAAAGUAGCAACAACUGCAAAUGCAUCCAAAAGCCAGGAAAGGUUUUUUUUUUCACGAGGGAUUGUAGGGUUUUCUUGCUGCACACGUCUUGGUUUUGUAUGCUAAUCUCCGUGACAGAGUGUGCUUGAUUCUCCUCCCAUUCAUAUCAGUGACAAAACUCCCACAGAUUUUAGCUGGAACAGCAUCAAACCCUAUUUUGCUGAUAGUUUGAAAGAAAAAUCAUAUUUUGUUAUAUCUCAUUUAUAAUUCUUGGCCCCUUUCCUUCAGAGCCUCUGUCUAGAAGCAUGAAGACCUUGUGGAGUCUUAAUUUAUGAUAUUUGUCUUACUGUCACAGCAAUAGAUUACAAUGUCAAAGUCCAAAGGACAGUAUUGUUACAACUUAGAAACAGUCCUUGUGAAAGAAUACUGCUAUUUCACUGAAGGUACGUGACAAGUCAUGAGAAAUGGUGGGAAGAUAGUACAUGUCUGAACAUCUGCCUUUGCAGGUGUUUUCUUCUCCUCCUUUGGUCUUCAGAAAUCACUGAACUAUUGCUCUGUGCCUAAUACUUCCUUGGGGAAAAUGUUCCAAAUGCUGUGCCGGAGGAGCCAGAAUCUGGCACAGCUCAAAUCUGUUACCUAAAUGUCAAAUUGCAUCUCCUGUUGUUGUACUUUUUUUCUGUCAUUCAUCAUGGUUCCUGCAGGGAAUCUAGCUUCAACUUUAAGUACUAGAAGGAACAUCUGUAAGUGCUCCAUCACAGUAAAAGGCACCAGCCUGUAAUUCACAUUUGCAAGGCAAGCAGUGUGCAGAAAGGCUCUUGCACCCUUUGCUCAGUGUACUUCAAAAAUUCGUAUGUAGCUCAAAGGAGAUAAAUUCAUAGAUGAAGUGUACGUGCGAGUUAUGGCAGCUUAAUGUUUCUUCUGGAAAACAGUUCCACAGGAAUAUCUAAACAAUACCUUUCAUUCUCAAACUAGACUGCCAGUCUGAGCUCUAUUAGCCUAAUGAGUAUGAAUGCUAUGCUCAAGUUUUUCCAUACAGAGAAUUCUUUGAAAGGUGGUUAGCGUGAGGAGAAUAGAUUUUCCUAAUUAGCACUAACUGGGAAUAAUGACUGUAUGUGCCUUGAUUUAGCAGAAUGGCUACAUCAGGGUAAGGUAAAAAGUGAUCAUGGUCAUAGUCUGAGCAGUGCUUGGAGAAGGUUGUUUGCAAACUCUGUUUCAGUGUUUUUUGUGCUAGAAUAAAACUGACU